rnacentral:rRNA from 1 species
CGGAGGGGUUAGCGUUGUUCGGAAUGACUGGGCGUAAAGCGCGCGUAGGCGGAUCAGAAAGUUGGGGGUGAAAUCCCGGGCUCAACCCCGGAAUGGCCUUCAAGACUCCUGGUCUUGAGUUCGAGAGAGGUGAGUGGAAUUCCGAGUGUAGAGGUGAAAUUCGUAGAUAUUCGGAGGAACACCAGUGGCGAAGGCGGCUCACUGGCUCGACACUGACGCUGAGGUGCGAAAGCGUGGGGAGCAAACAGGAUU